rnacentral:rRNA from 1 species
CAGCAGCCACGGUAAUACGUAGGGUGCAAGCGUUAAUCGGAAUUACUGGGCGUAAAGCGUGCGCAGGCGGUUUUGUAAGACAGAGGUGAAAUCCCCGGGCUCAACCUGGGAACUGCCUUUGUGACUGCAAGGCUAGAGUACGGCAGAGGGGGAUGGAAUUCCGCGUGUAGCAGUGAAAUGCGUAGAUAUGCGGAGGAACACCGAUGGCGAAGGCAAUCCCCUGGGCCUGUACUGACGCUCAUGCACGAAAGCGUGGGGAGCAAACAGGAUUAGAUACCCGUGUAGUCCCUGUCUCUUAUAC